rnacentral:lncRNA from 1 species
CUACUGUUCUAUUAAUAGGAUAGUAGCACUUGUCCUAUCAAAUUGUUCUUGAUGAUAAAGAUUCCGAAUCGAUGAUCGGAGCCAUUGAAAUUGAUCUAGAGUAUUCGAAAUAUCUAGAAACUAAAUUUCAUAAAUUUUAAAAUUAUUUACAUGGUGAUCAAAGUGUGGAAAAAUCGACAAUUUUUGACGGCAUAUAUGAGCCGUUUGCUUGUUUAACGGUGUAGAGUAAUCCAAAUUGCUUGAAUUUUUGAUAGAAAAUUCUUUAUACUAUUUAGAUAAUAUUUGAUUACCCUGAUUAUGAAUUGAGAAAGUCUAACCUC